CCUCUAAUUAUAAAAAAACAAGAUAUCCAUAUUUUAUGAGCCCUAACUCAAAUUUUGAACGAUAUAUUAGAUUUAACUAUACAGCACAUAGGACAUUUGACCAAAUUGACUGGAUGAAACAUUUUUGCUUUUCAUUCAGAGGACCCAGGAUCAAAUUAGGAACUCACUUUGAAAAUUUAUAUGCUAGAUCAAUGAAAUUUUUAGUUUUAGUUAACAUUGCAAUUUCUAAGAACCUAGCCCUGAUGUUAGGCUGAACUCACACAAACCACAAUAAAACCACACCACGACCACAAAACAGUAGAUGCUUGUGGACGGUCGUGAAUUAUAAUUAUAUUAAUAUAGAAACUCA
rnacentral:lncRNA from 1 species